GGCGCGCAAAUUACCCAAUCCCGACACGGGGAGGUAGUGACAAUAAAUACUGAUACAGGGCUCUUUUGGGUCUUGUAAUUGGAAUGAGUACAAUUUAAAUCCCUUAACGAGGAACAAUUGGAGGGCAAGUCUGGUGCCAGCAGCCGCGGUAAUUCCAGCUCCAAUAGCGUAUAUUAAAGUUGUUGUGGUUAAAAAGCUCGUAGUUGAACCUUGGGCCUGGCUGGCCGGUCCGCCUCACCGCGUGUACUGGUCCGGCCGGGCCUUUCCCUCUGUGGAACCCCAUGCCCUUCACUGGGUGUGGCGGGGAAACAGGACUUUUACUUUGAAAAAAUUAGAGUGCUCCAGGCAGGCCUAUGCUCGAAUACAUUAGCAUGGAAUAAUAGAAUAGGACGUGUGGUUCUAUUUUGUUGGUUUCUAGGACCGCCGUAAUGAUUAAUAGGGACAGUCGGGGGCAUCAGUAUUCAAUUGUCAGAGGUGAAAUUCUUGGAUUUAUUGAAGACUAACUACUGCGAAAGCAUUUGCCAAGGAUGUUUUCAUUAAUCAGGAACGAAAGUUAGGGGAUCGAAGACGAUCAGAUACCGUCGUAGUCUUAACCAUAAACUAUGCCGACUAGGGAUCGGACGAUGUUAUUUUUUGACUCGUUCGGCACCUUACGAGAAAUCAAAGUGCUUGGGCUC
rnacentral:rRNA from 1 species